CCAGGCUAAUACCGCAUACGUCCUACGGGAGAAAGGGGGCUUCGGCUCCCGCUAUUGGAUGAGCCUAUGUCGGAUUAGCUAGUUGGUGAGGUAGAGGCUCACCAAGGCAACGAUCCGUAGCUGGUCUGAGAGGAUGAUCAGCCACAUCGGGACUGAGACACGGCCCGAACUCCUACGGGAGGCAGCAGUGGGGAAUAUUGGACAAUGGGGGCAACCCUGAUCCAGCCAUGCCGCGUGUGUGAAGAAGGCCCUCGGGUUGUAAAGCACUUUCAGCGAGGAAGAACGCCUAGCGGUUAAUACCCGUUAGGAAAGACAUCACUCGCAGAAGAAGCACCGGCUAACUCCGUGCCAGCAGCCGCGGUAAUACGGAGGGUGCAAGCGUUAAUCGGAAUUACUGGGCGUAAAGCGCGCGUAGGUGGCUUGAUAAGCCGGUUGUGAAAGCCCCGGGCUCAACCUGGGAACGGCAUCCGGAACUGUCAGGCUAGAGUGCAGGAGAGGAAGGUAGAAUUCCCGGUGUAGCGGUGAAAUGCGUAGAGAUCGGGAGGAAUACCAGUGGCGAAGGCGGCCUCCUGGACUGACACUGACACUGAGGUGCGAAAGCGUGGGUAGCAAACAGGAUUAGAUACCCUGGUAGUCCACGCCGUAAACGAUGUCGACCAGCCGUUGGGUGCCUAGAGCACUUUGUGGCGAAGUUAACGCGAUAAGUCGACCGCCUGGGGAGUACGGCCGCAAGGUUWAAACUCAAAUGAAUUGACGGGGGCCCGCACAAGCGGUGGAGCAUGUGGUUUAAUUCGAUGCAACGCGAAGAACCUUACCUACCCUUGACAUCUACAGAAGCCGGAAGAGAUUCUGGUGUGCCUUCGGGAACUGUAAGACAGGUGCUGCAUGGCUGUCGUCAGCUCGUGUUGUGAAAUGUUGGGUUAAGUCCCGUAACGAGCGCAACCCUUGUCCUUAUUUGCCAGCACGUAAUGGUGGGAACUCUAAGGAGACUGCCGGUGACAAACCGGAGGAAGGUGGGGACGACGUCAAGUCAUCAUGGCCCUUACGGGUAGGGCUACACACGUGCUACAAUGGCCGGUACAAAGGGCUGCGAGCUCGCGAGAGUCAGCGAAUCCCUUAAAGCCGGUCUCAGUCCGGAUCGGAGUCUGCAACUCGACUCCGUGAAGUCGGAAUCGCUAGUAAUCGUGAAUCAGAAUGUCACGGUGAAUACGUUCCCGGGCCUUGUACAC
rnacentral:rRNA from 1 species